rnacentral:rRNA from 1 species
UGGCGGAGGGUGAGUACACGUGGGUAACCUGCCUGUAAGACUGGGAUAACUCCGGGAAACCGGAGCUAAUACCGGAUAGUUCCUUGAACCGCAUGGUUCAAGGAUGAAAGACGGUUUCGGCUGUCACUUACAGAUGGACCCGCGGCGCAUUAGCUAGUUGGUGAGGUAACGGCUCACCAAGGCGACGAUGCGUAGCCGACCUGAGAGGGUGAUCGGCCACACUGGGACUGAGACACGGCCCAGACUCCUACGGGAGGCAGCAGUAGGGAAUCUUCCGCAAUGGACGAAAGUCUGACGGAGCAACGCCGCGUGAGUGAUGAAGGUUUUCGGAUCGUAAAGCUCUGUUGUUAGGGAAGAACAAGUGCAAGAGUAACUGCUUGCACCUUGACGGUACCUAACCAGAAAGCCACGGCUAACUACGUGCCAGCAGCCGCGGUAAUACGUAGGUGGCAAGCGUUGUCCGGAAUUAUUGGGCGUAAAGGGCUCGCAGGCGGUUUCUUAAGUCUGAUGUGAAAGCCCCCGGCUCAACCGGGGAGGGUCAUGG